AGUCGACGAGACCUUCGGGUCUAGUGGCGCACGGGUGCGUAACGCGUGGGAAUCUGCCCUUGGGUUCGGAAUAACAGUUGGAAACGACUGCUAAUACCGGAUGAUGACGUAAGUCCAAAGAUUUAUCGCCCAGGGAUGAGCCCGCGUAGGAUUAGCUAGUUGGUGAGGUAAAGGCUCACCAAGGCGACGAUCCUUAGCUGGUCUGAGAGGAUGAUCAGCCACACUGGGACUGAGACACGGCCCAGACUCCUACGGGAGGCAGCAGUAGGGAAUAUUGGACAAUGGGGGCAACCCUGAUCCAGCAAUGCCGCGUGAGUGAUGAAGGCCUUAGGGUUGUAAAGCUCUUUUACCCGGGAUGAUAAUGACAGUACCGGGAGAAUAAGCCCCGGCUAACUCCGUGCCAGCAGCCGCGGUAAUACGGAGGGGGCUAGCGUUGUUCGGAAUUACUGGGCGUAAAGCGCACGUAGGCGGCGAUUUAAGUCAGAGAUGAAAGCCCGGGGCUCAACCCCGGAACUGCCUUUGAGACUGGAUUG
rnacentral:rRNA from 1 species